GACGAACGCUGGCGGCGUGCCUAAUACAUGCAAGUCGAACGCAGUGGGGACGGGUGAGUAACACGUGGGUAACCUCGCAUCAGAGUGGAUAACACUUGGAAAAAGGUGCUAAACCGAUACUGAUGGAUGGACCCGCGGGGCAUUAGCUAGUUGGUGGGGUAACGGCUCACCAAGGCCACGAUGCAUAGCUGACCUGAGAGGGUGAUCGGCCACACUGGAACUGAGACACGGUCCAGACUCCUACGGGAGGCAGCAGUAGGGAAUCUUCGGCAAUGGGCGAAAGCCUGACCCAGCAAUGCCGCGUGAUUGAAGAAGGUUUUCGGAUCGUAAAAUACUUUUAUUAGGGAAGCGUUAUCUAACCAAGAAGCCCCGGCUAACUCCGUGCCAGCAGCCGCGGUAAUAC
rnacentral:rRNA from 1 species